rnacentral:rRNA from 1 species
UACGUAGGCAGCGAGCGUUGUUCGGAGUUACUGGGCGUAAAGGUGUGUAGGCGGUUUUCUAAGUUUGGUGUGAAAUCUCCCGGCUCAACCGGGAGGGUGCGCCGAAAACUGGGAGACUAGAGUGCGGGAUGGGAGAGUAGAAUUCCUGGUGUAGCGGUGAAAUGCGUAGAUAUCAGGAGGAAUACCGGUGGUGUAGACGGCUCUCUGGACCGCCACUGACGCUGAGACACGAAAGCGUGGGUAGCAAACAGG